GACGGAGGGGGCUAGCGUUGUUCGGAAUUACUGGGCGUAAAGCGCACGUAGUCGGCUUUGCAAGUCGGUUGUGAAAUCCCCGGGCUCAACCUGGGAACUGCAUCCGAGACUGCAUUGCUAGAGUAUGGGAGAGGGAAGCGGAAUUUCUGGUGUAGCAGUGAAAUGCGUAGAUAUCAGAAGGAACAUCAGUGGCGAAGGCGGCUUCCUGGACCAAUACUGACGCUCAUGUGCGAAAGCGUGGGGAGCAAACAGG
rnacentral:rRNA from 1 species